rnacentral:rRNA from 1 species
AUUGAACGCUGGCGGCAUGCCUUACACAUGCAAGUCGAACGGUAACAGGUCUUCGGAUGCUGACGAGUGGCGAACGGGUGAGUAAUACAUCGGAACGUGCCUAGUAGUGGGGGAUAACUACUCGAAAGAGUGGCUAAUACCGCAUGAGAUCUACGGAUGAAAGCAGGGGAUCGCAAGACCUUGUGCUACUAGAGCGGCCGAUGGCAGAUUAGGUAGUUGGUGGGAUAAAAGCUUACCAAGCCGACGAGCUGUAGCUGGUCUGAGAGGACGAUCAGCCGAACUGGAACUGGGACACGGCGCAGACUCUGCCGAGUGGAAGCAUUGGGGAAUUUUGGACAAUGGGCGCAAGCCUGUUCCAGCAACGCCGCGUGCAGGAUGAAGGCCUUCGGGUUGUAAACUGCUUUUGUACGGAACGAAAAGCCCUGGGUUAAUACCCUGGGGUCAUGACGGUACCGUAAGAAUAAGCACCGGCUAACUACGUGCCAGCCGCCGCAGUAA